UAAAAGACGAAGUGGCUGAAAAAGCAGCGCAGCUUCGUCAGGCGGAAGAAACCAAAAACAGGCUCCUGCAAAUAGCAUCUGAAAAAAUCGCGCCGUUACAGGAUGCUGUUGAUCUUGAUAUCGCAACAGAUGAUGAGAAAGCGCAGCUCGACGAAUGGAAAAAAUACAGGGUGCUGGUAAACCGGAUGGAUACAGCCGC
rnacentral:sRNA from 1 species